rnacentral:rRNA from 1 species
UACAGAGGUGGCGAGCGUUACUCGGAUUUAUUGGGUGUAAAGGGCAAGUAGGCGUCUUAACAAGUUAGAAGUGAAAUCCUGCAGCUCAACUGCAGAACUGCUUUUAAAACUGUUGAGAUUGAGUCUGGGAGAGGAAAGCGGAAUUCUCGGUGUAAGAGUGAAAUCUGUAGAUAUCGAGAGGAACACCAGUGGCGAAGGCGGCUUUCUGGUCCAGUACUGACGCUGAAUUGCGAAAGCUAGGGGAGCAAACAGG